rnacentral:lncRNA from 1 species
AAACUUGCCCAUUAAGAAUCCCUCUCCUUUUAGAAUUCUUCUCCUGUCAGUUAAACUUGCCUAUUACGAAUCCCUUUCCUUUUAGAAUUCUUCUCUUGCAAGUCAAACUUACCUAUUAAGAAUCCCCUUUCUCUUAGAAUUCUUCUUUUGCAAGUCUUCUUGUCCAUCAAGCAAUAUCUGACAAAUCCCAAAAAUUCUCUAACAAAUCCCUUAUAGGAUUUGAGUUAAUAUUCCCAAUAAUCUCCACCUUGACUCAAAUUUCAUCAAUCAUCUAUCUUCAUGCUAGACAUGCUUGGCUUCACCUGCAAUGGAAGUUUCACACUCAUCUUCUCUUGUGUGUCUUUAUGCUUCAUGCAAACCGAUCCUUCAAUCCUCAAAACACAAACUCAAACUUUUUCCUUAAAUCACACUCCUCUAAGCUUGUCUCUUCCCAUGUCUCAAACCAUGUUCUUCCCACAUCUCGAACCUUCAGCUCUUCCACAUCUCGAACUUUCGACUCUUUUCACAUCUUGAACUUUUAGCUCUUCCACGUCUCGUACCUUCAGUUCUGAUAUCACUUGUUGGGAAAUACCACAGCUCUGAUACCAUUUGUUGUGCUAAAAGCCUCCAAUCCAAUCACACCAACGAAAGUGAAAUCAAACAAUAAAUCAAACACACAAGAGAAAAUAAUUUAACGUGGUUUGAUUCAAUCAACCUACGUCCACGGAUGAGAAACAAGAUCCACUAGUUGUAGAGAAUUACAAACAUACAUCAAAUCAUCAACCUCACACAACAAUUAAUACUCAUAAGAUACUCUCAAUCUCCUCUAGUCCUAUGAAGUAUUCUCAACCCAAACAAAUCCAAACUCAAACCCUUGUGUCCCCUUUCAACAUAACCAAAUACAUACAUAUAUGCUUUCAUACAUCAUACCUAUGUGGACCCUCUCAGUCUCUUCUAGUCCACUUACAAAUAAACAUACACACCCAUAAGACGUAGAGCCCUAAUACUCCUAUAGGGUGUCUAUCCCAUAAAAUCUUACAACUCUUUUACAUCUUUUUCUCAUACCAAACCCUGUAGAGACUUCACAUAUUUAUAACCAUACAAACUUGCCCAUUAAGAAUCCCUCUUCUAUUAAAAUUCUUCUUCUAUAAGUUAAACUUGCCUAUUAAGAAUCCCUUUUCUUUUAGAAUUCUUCUCUUGUAAGUCAAACUUACCUAUUAAGAAUCCUCUUUCUCUUAGAAUUCUUCUUUUGUAAGUCUUCUUGUCCAUCAAGCAAUAUCUGACAAAUCUCAAACAAAUCUCUAACAAAUCCCUUAUGGGAUUUGAGUCAAUAUUUCCAAC